rnacentral:rRNA from 1 species
CCUACGGGUGGCAGCAGUGAGGAAUAUUGGUCAAUGGACGAGAGUCUGAACCAGCCAAGUAGCGUGAAGGAUGACUGCCCUAUGGGUUGUAAACUUCUUUUAUAUGGGAAUAAAAUGUUCCACGUGUGGGAUUUUGUAUGUACCAUAUGAAUAAGGAUCGGCUAACUCCGUGCCAGCAGCCGCGGUAAUACGGAGGAUCCGAGCGUUAUCCGGAUUUAUUGGGUUUAUAGGGAGCGUAGGUGGAUUGUUAAGUCAGUUGUGAAAGUUUGCGGCUCAACCGUAAAAUUGCAGUUGAAACUGGCAGUCUUGAGUACAGUAGAGGUGGGUGGAAUUCGUGGUGUAGCGGUGAAAUGCUUAGAUAUCACGAAGAACUCCGAUUGCGAAGGCAGUUCACUGGACUGCAACUGACACUGAGGCUCGAAAGUGUGGGUAUCAAACAGGAUUAGAUACCCUUGUAGUC